AUGAUUUAUGGACCAGGCUUGGUGGCUCAUGCCUGGGAGCGAGAAGAGGGAGAGAAACGGGGAUCGGGGAGAAAACGCCCGAGUCGCCACCGGAGAGGAGUCGACUCCUUCGCAGCAGCCAGCAGAGAAGCCCAACCACCUGCUCGCCCUUGCCCUGCCGGGUUCACAAUACAGCCUGCUUCUGCAAAGUGGUACGAUAGAAGGGACUGUGUCUUCAUUGAAUUUUGUGUUGAAGACGGUAAAGAUGUUAAUGUCAAUUUUGAAAAAUCCAAACUUCCGUUCAGUUGUCUGGGAGGAAGUGAUAAUUUUAAACAUUUAAAUUAAAUUGAUCUUUUUCACUGUAUUGAUGCCAAUGAUUCCAAGCAUAAAAGACGGCCAGGUCAAUUUUAUGUUGUUUACGAAAAGGAGAAUAUAGCCAGUCUUGGCUAAGGUUAACAAAAGAAAGGGCAGAGCUUAAUUGGCUUAGUGUGGACUUCAAUAAUUGGAAGGACUGGGAAGAUGAUUCAGAUGAAGACAUGUCUAAUUUUGAUCGUUUCUCUGAGAUGAUGAACAACAUGGGUGGUGAUGAGGGUGUAGAUUUACCAGAAGUAGAUGGAGCAGAUGAUGAUUCACAAGACAGUGAUGAUGAAAAAAUGCCAGAUCUGGAGUAAGAAAUAUCGUCAUCAACCGGAUUUUGAGAAAGACAAAUAACUUCUCUGCAAGAUUUCAUAACUGAGACAAUUCCUUAGUUGAUAG